rnacentral:rRNA from 1 species
CCUACGGGAGGCAGCAGUGGGGAAUAUUGCACAAUGGGGGAAACCCUGAUGCAGCGACGCCGCGUGAGUGAAGAAGUAAUUCGUUAUGUAAAGCUCUAUCAGCAGGGAAGAAAAUGACGGUACCUGAGUAAGAAGCCCCGGCUAACUACGUGCCAGCAGCCGCGGUAAUAAGUAGGGGGCCAGCGUUAUCCGGAUUUACUGGGUGUAAAGGGAGCGUAGACGGCAGUGCAAGUCUGGAGUGAAAGGCGGGGGCUCAACCCCCGGACUGCUCUGGAAACUGUACGGCUGGAGUGCAGGAGAGGUAAGUGGAAUUCCUGGUGUAGCGGUGAAAUGCGUAGAUAUUAGGAGGAACACCAGUGGCGAAGGCGGCUUACUGGACUGUAACUGACGUUGAGGCUCGAAAGCGUGGGGAGCAAACAGGAUUAGAUACCCGGGUAGUC